rnacentral:rRNA from 1 species
GAUGAACGCUGGCGGCGUGCCUAAUACAUGCAAGUCGAGCGAACAGACGAGGAGCUUGCUCCUCUGACGUUAGCGGCGGACGGGUGAGUAACACGUGUAUAACCUACCUAUAAGACUGGGAUAACUUCGGGAAACCGGAGCUAAUACCGGAUAACAUGUUGAACCGCAUGGUUUAACAGUGAAAGACGGUCUUGCUGUCACUUAUAGGUGGAUCCGCGCCGCAUUAGCUAGUUGGUAAGGUAACGGCUUACCAAGGCAACGAUGCGUAGCCGACCUGAGAGGGUGAUCGGCCACACUGGAACUGAGACACGGUCCAGGCUCCUACGGGAGGCAGCAGUAGGGAAUCUUCCGCAAUGGGCGAAAGCCUGACGGAGCAACGCCGCGUGAGUGAAGAAGGUCUUCGGAUCGUAAAACUCUGUUAUUAGGGAAGAACAAAUGUGUAAGUAACUAUGCACGUCUUGACGGUACCUAAUCAGAAAGCCACGGCUAACUACGUG